rnacentral:rRNA from 1 species
GACGGGUAUCCGGCCUGAGAGGGUGAUCGGACACACUGGAACUGAGACACGGUCCAGACUCCUACGGGAGGCAGCAGUAGGGAAUAUUGCUCAAUGGGGGAAACCCUGAAGCAGCAACGCCGCGUGGAGGAUGAAGGUUUUAGGAUUGUAAACUCCUUUUGUUAGAGAAGAUUAUGACGGUAUCUAACGAAUAAGCACCGGCUAACUCCGUGCCAGCAGCCGCGGUAAUACGGAGGGUGCAAGCGUUACUCGGAAUCACUGGGCGUAAAGAGUGCGCAGGCGGGAUAGCAAGUCAGAUGUGAAAUGCUAUGGCUUAACCAUAGAACUGCAUUUGAAACUGUUAUUCUA